GGUUCGAGUUCUGGAUUGGGUUUAGGUUUGUGUUUUCAAGUUUAGGUUUAGGUUUAGGUUAGGGAGUUGAGAUUGGGAUUAGGUGUAGGUUUAGGUUUAGGGAAUUGAGAAUAGCUUAAGGUUUAGGUUUAGGAAAUCGGGUUCGGGUUCAGGAUCGGGUUUAGGCUUGGGUUUUCAAGUUUAGGUUUAGGUUUAGGUUAGGGAGUUGAGAUUGGGUUUAGUGGUAGGUUUAGGUUUAGGGAUUUGAGAAUAGGUUAAGGUUUAGGUUUAGGAAAUCGGGUUCGGGUUCGAGAUCGGGUUUAGGUUUGGGUUUUCAAGUUUAGGUUUAGGUUUAGGUUAGGGAGUUGAGAUUAGGAUUAGGUGUAGGUUUAGGUUUAGGGAUUUGA